GAUGAAAUUAGGUUAAAGAUUGUGGGAACCAGGGUAGAUGCCUCAGAUAUUUUUGCAAUUGGAUCACUCAUGGAUGAUUACCUCGGUCUUGUGAGCUAGAAGCUUUUGUUAUUAUUCGUAGGAAAUAUCAUCCCUGCUGAAAAGUUGUUACUAUGACAGCAAUUGAUGGAUUCCUGUCAGAUAGAGAUAAUGGCAACCAGUGAUAUUGUCACAGAUUUGAACUAGGCCAUUAACAAGCGGAUGUAAAUAUUGUGCUGCUUAGCAAAUUCUCUGAUGGGAAUCAUUGCAAAGAAUAGAACUUCUACAUGUAAAUGUCAAAGACUCAAAGCCUAUGUUACUAAUAACAAGAUGUGACAUACAUGUGUAAUGUGCUUUUGAAUCGAUGCACAAAGGCCUUGUUAUACUUCUUUUGUACUUGUUUGUUACAGUAUUUAUAUUCAAAGUUCUAAUUUAGGAUUAUAAUUACUUGUGCAGGACGAAGAAGACAGAUCAAAGCAAUGUGGAUGAAUAUUGUAUGUUGAGUGCCUGAUAGAGUGAAUAAAGAGAAAAAUAGAAAAUGUG